GAUGGACGCUGGCGGCGUGCUUAACACAUGCAAGUCGAACGGAAAGGCCCAAGCUUGCUUGGGUACUCGAGUGGCGAACGGGUGAGUAACACGUGGGUGAUCUGCCCUGCACUUCGGGAUAAGCCUGGGAAACUGGGUCUAAUACCGGAUAGGGCGAUGGUUUGGAUGCCAUUGUGGAAAGUUUUUUCGGUGUGGGAUGAGCUCGCGGCCUAUCAGCUUGUUGGUGGGGUAAUGGCCUACCAAGGCGUCGACGGGUAGCCGGCCUGAGAGGGUGUACGGCCACAUUGGGACUGAGAUACGGCCCAGACUCCUACGGGAGGCAGCAGUGGGGAAUAUUGCACAAUGGGCGCAAGCCUGAUGCAGCGACGCCGCGUGGGGGAUGACGGCCUUCGGGUUGUAAACUCCUUUCGCUAGGGACGAAGCGUUUUUGUGACGGUACCUGGAGAAGAAGCACCGGCUAACUACGUG
rnacentral:rRNA from 1 species